rnacentral:tRNA from 1 species
GUACGUAUAAUUUAUCAGGUAAAAUAAGUGAUUUCCAAUCACUAAUGGCGGGUUCAAGUCCCGUUAUGUAUA